GACGAACGCUGGCGGCGUGCCUAAUACAUGCAAGUCGAACGAGAGCGACCGGUGCUUGCACUGGUCAAUCUAGUGGCGAACGGGUGAGUAACACGUGGGUAACCUGCCCAUCAGAGGGGGAUAACAUCCGGAAACGGAUGCUAAAACCGCAUAGGUCUUCGAACCGCAUGGUUUGAAGAGGAAAAGAGGCGCAAGCUUCUGCUGAUGGAUGGACCCGCGGUGCAUUAGCUAGCUGGUGAGGUAACGGCUCACCAAGGCCGUGAUGCAUAGCCGACCUGAGAGGGUGAUCGGCCACAUUGGGACUGAGACACGGCCCAAACUCCUACGGGAGGCAGCAGUAGGGAAUCUUCCGCAAUGGACGCAAGUCUGACGGAGCAACGCCGCGUGAGUGAAGAAGGUUUUCGGAUCGUAAAACUCUGUUGUUAGAGAAGAACAAGUGCUAGAGUAACUGUUAGCGCCUUGACGGUAUCUAACCAGAAAGCCACGGCUAACUACGUG
rnacentral:rRNA from 1 species